rnacentral:rRNA from 1 species
AGGGAAUCUUCCGCAAUGGACGAAAGUCUGACGGAGCAACGCCGCGUGAGUGAUGAAGGUUUUCGGAUCGUAAAGCUCUGUUGCCAGGGAAGAACGUCCGUUAGAGUAACUGCUAACGGAGUGACGGUACCUGAGAAGAAAGCCCCGGCUAACUACGUGCCAGCAGCCGCGGUAAUACGUAGGGGGCGAGCGUUGUCCGGAAUUAUUGGGCGCAAAGCGCGCGCAGGCGGCUGUUUAAGUCUGGUGUAUAAUCCUGGGGCUCAACUCCGGGUCGCACUGGAAACUGGAUGGCUUGAGUGCAGAAGAGGAGAGUGGAAUUCCACGUGUAGCGGUGAAAUGCGUAGAGAUGUGGAGGAACACCAGUGGCGAAGGCGACUCUCUGGGCUGUAACUGACGCUGAGGCGCGAAAGCGUGGGGAGCAAAC